AAGAAAACUUGCGUCAGAACUGCUAACUCUGACCCCUGGAAUUAACACACCCAGACUUCU
rnacentral:tRNA from 1 species